UGCAGUCGANGGCAGCGCGGGGCAACCUGGCGGCGAGUGGCGAACGGGUGAGUAAUAUAUCGGAACGUGCCCUGGAGUGGGGGAUAACGCAGCGAAAGUUGCGCUAAUACCGCAUACGAUCUAAGGAUGAAAGCGGGGGAUUCGCAAGAACCUCGUGCUCCUGGAGCGGCCGAUAUCUGAUUAGCUAGUUGGUGGGGUAAAGGCCUACCAAGGCAUCGAUCAGUAGCUGGUCUGAGAGGACGACCAGCCACACUGGAACUGAGACACGGUCCAGACUCCUACGGGAGGCAGCAGUGGGGAAUUUUGGACAAUGGGCGAAAGCCUGAUCCAGCAAUGCCGCGUGAGUGAAGAAGGCCUUCGGGUUGUAAAGCUCUUUUGUCAGGGAAGAAACGGUGAAGGCUAAUAUCCUUUGCUAAUGACGGUACCUGAAGAAUAAGCACCGGCUAACUACGUGCCAGCAGCCGCGGUAAUACGUAGGGUGCAAGCGUUAAUCGGAAUUACUGGGCGUAAAGCGUGCGCAGGCGGUUUUGUAAGUCUGUCGUGAAAUCCCCGGGCUCAACCUGGGAAUUGCGAUGGAGACUGCAAGGCUAGAAUCUGGCAGAGGGGGGUAGAAUUCCACGUGUAGCAGUGAAAUGCGUAGAGAUGUGGAGGAACACCGAUGGCGAANGCAGCCCCCUGGGUCAAGAUUGACGCUCAUGCACGAAAGCGUGGGGAGCAAACAGGAUUAGAUACCCUGGUAGUCCACGCCCUAAACGAUGUCUACUAGUUGUCGGGUUUUAAUUAACUUGGUAACGCAGCUNACGCGUGAAGUAGACCGCCUGGGGAGUACGGUCGCAAGAUUAAAACUCAAAGGAAUUGACGGGGACCCGCACAAGCGGNGGAUGAUGUGGAUUAAUUCGAUGCAACGCGAAAAACNUUACCUACC
rnacentral:rRNA from 1 species